UACGGGGGGAGCAAGCGUUGUUCGGAUUUACUGGGCGUAAAGGGCGCGUAGGCGGCCUCCGCAAGUCAAUUGUGAAAUCUCCGGGCUUAACUCGGAAAGGUCAACUGAUACUGCGGGGCUAGAGUGCGGAAGGGGCAACUGGAAUUCUCGGUGUAGCGGUGAAAUGCGUAGAUAUCGAGAGGAACACCUGCGGCGAAGGCGGGUUGCUGGGCCGACACUGACGCUGAGGCGCGAAAGCUAGGGGAGCGAACGGG
rnacentral:rRNA from 1 species